rnacentral:lncRNA from 1 species
AAUCCAUAUCUCUUUCAUUAUUGGUCCAAAAAUUAUGGGACCAAUUGCAUUAUUUCUCUUUUAUUUUCUACUUUCUAAAAAUGAUUUUUAAUAUUUUUUAUUUCAUCAUUUGCUAUUUUUUAGUAAUUUUCUCUUUUCUGGUUAUUUUUAAUUCAUUUUAAAUAGUUUUUGAUAUUCAAAAAAUACAAAAAUAUUUUCUCAACCUCUUUGAAUGAUGAUAGAUC